CCUACGGGGGGCAGCAGUGAGGAAUAUUGGUCAAUGGGCGCGAGCCUGAACCAGCCAAGUAGCGUGAAGGAUGACUGCCCUACGGGUUGUAAACUUCUUUUAUAAAGGAAUAAAGUGAGGCACGUGUGCCUUUUUGUGUGUACUUUAUGAAUAAGGAUCGGCUAACUCCGUGCCAUCAGCCGCGGUAAUACGGAGGAUCCGAGCGUUAUCCGGAUUUAUUGGGUUUAAAGGGAGCGUAGAUGGGUUGUUAAGUCAGUUGUGAAAGUUUGCGGCUCAACCGUAAAAUUGCAAUUGAUACUGGCAGUCUUGAGUACAGUUGAGGUAGGCGGAAUUCGUGGUGUAGCGGUGAAAUGCUUAGAUAUCACGAAGAACUCCGAUUGCGAAGGCAGCUUACUAAACUGCCACUGACAUUGAUGCUCGAAAGUGUGGGUAUCAAACAGGAUUAGAUACCCUUGUAGUC
rnacentral:rRNA from 1 species